UUUUACCCCCGAUCGGAGUGGCAUCCUUUUUCUUUUUUGAAGUGGAAUAGGCGGAGGAGGAAAGAAAAAGAUAUAACGGAGAGCGGGAAAUAGG
rnacentral:sRNA from 1 species